rnacentral:rRNA from 1 species
CYUACGGGAGGCASCAGUGGGGAAUAUUGCMCAAUGGGCGCAAGCCUGAUGCAGCCAUGCCGCGUGUAUGAAGAAGSCCUUCGGGUUGUAAAGUACUUUCAGCGGGGAGGAAGGUGUUGUGGUUAAUAACCACASCAAUUGMCGUUMCCCGCAGAAGAAGCACCGGCUAACUCCGUGCCAGCAGCCGCGGUAAUACGGAGGGUSCAAGCGUUAAUCGGAAUUACUGGGCGUAAAGCGCACGCAGGCGGUCUGUCAAGUCGGAUGUGAAAUCCCCGGGCUCAACCUGGGAACUGCAUUCGAAACUGGCAGGCUGGAGUCUUGUAGAGGGGGGUAGAAUUCCAGGUGUAGCGGUGAAAUGCGUAGAGAU